UUUUUUACAGGAGAUGGCAUUCCUCCUCAUAACCGCCCUCUGGCUGAUGAUGCCUGCACAUUC
rnacentral:ncRNA from 19 species